rnacentral:tRNA from 1 species
GCGGCCAUAAUUCAGCGGUAGAAUGCGACCUUCCCAAGGUCGACGUCGCGGGUUCGAGUCCCGCUGGCCGCUCCA